rnacentral:rRNA from 1 species
AGAGUUUGAUCCUGGCUCAGGAUGAACGCUAGCGAUAGGCUUAACACAUGCAAGUCGAGGGGCAUCACGAGGUAGCAAUACUUUGGUGGCGACCGGCGUACGGGUGCGUAACACGUAUGCAACCUUUCCUGUAAGUGUGGGAUAGCCUCCUGAAAGGGAGAUUAAUACCUCAUGAUAUGUAUUUGCUGCAUGGCAUUUACAUUAAACAUUUAUGGCUUACAGAUGGGCAUGCGUUCCAUUAGGCAGUUGGUGUGGUAACGGCUCACCAAACCUACGAUGGAUAGGGGUUCUGAGGGGAAGGUCCCCCACACUGGAACUGAGACACGGUCCAGACUCCUACGGGAGGCAGCAGUGAGGAAUAUUGGUCAAUGGGCGCGAGCCUGAACCAGCCACGUCGCGUGAAGGAUGACGGCCUUAUGGGUUGUAAACUUCUUUUACAGGGGAAUAAAGUGAGUCACGUGUGAUUUUUUGCAUGUACCCUGUGAAUAAGCAUCGGCUAACUCCGUGCCAGCAGCCGCGGUAAUACGGAGGAUUCGAGCGUUAUCCGGAUUUAUUGGGUUUAAAGGGUGCGUAGGCGGGUUUGUAAGUCAGUGGUGAAAGUUUCCGGCUUAACCGGGAGAAUGCCGUUGAGACUGCAAAUCUUGAGUGCAAGCGAGGUAAGUGGAAUGUGUUGUGUAGCGGUGAAAUGCAUAGAUAUAACACAGAACACCGAUUGCGAAGGCAGCUUACUAGUAUGUAACUGACGCUGAGGCACGAAAGCGUGGGGAGCAAACAGGAUUAGAUACCCUGGUAGUCCACGCAGUAAACGAUGAAUACUAGCUGUAUGCGAUAGACAGUAUGCGGCGGAGCGAAAGCAUUAAGUAUUCCACCUGGGGAGUACGUCGGCAACGAUGAAACUCAAAGGAAUUGACGG